UGUUCGGCUAAAGACACCGUUAUUUUAUCUCACAGGACCUUAACCUCUCGGAGGUGAAGACGCAGGUAGAAAAGAGAUAUCCCGUCGAAGGAUGAAAGGAAGCGCCGGGCUUCACGACCCUAUCUGUUUAAAGCGCGACGUACGCGGGCUGCAUUCGGCGACAGCUCUCGGCCACCUUGCACCUUCUCAAGAGUUCUAGUUCUCAGGACUCCGGAGGAAAAGCUCAGAUGUAGCUGCUGACAGUGCUGGCACCGUCUGUUACUUCUCCCAGUAAGAUGAGAGCUAGGUUGGGAAAGCAGAUUGCAGGAAGUGAGUCGUGAACGAAGUGGACCGCUAGAUCUGUUGUUCAUGGGUGGAAGUUAAAUAGCCAUCGAUCCAAGACUGCCAAGAAUGCCUUUCUGGAGUUAGGUUGGAGGAGUUAGAUGAGUUUGCUUAAAUAGCUCUUAAGUAAAACCUGACUGAUGGUCUGUUAACUCAAGGUUAAAAUCUAUACCCUUAAGCUCCUGAGCCAAAAUUUUGAAAAAAUCCCACCCUUUUUAUUGUUUAUCCUAAGAAAGCCCUCAGCAUGAAACAAUGGUAGAGCAAUGGACUUGGUUUUAAGAUAUCACCCUAUAUGGCCUGGGGCAAGUCACAGCCAAUGGGUCCCAUAUUUCUUGCCUACACAAUGAAAUUAUUUGUAUUACCUGCUUUCUAAAGCUUCCAGUUCCAGGAUUCUAUAAGGGUAAGCUAUGGAUUUUUGUGCCACUUUGAACAGUAUUUAACAAGCCUGGGGAUGAAAAGGAGUAACCUGUUUUCUGUUCUCCAACAUUUAUUUCCUUUACCCCUUGUUAAGAUGGUCUUCAUCAAAUUGAAGUUUUAGUGUUUUGUCACUUAAGGAAAUGGCUAUGAGGUUAUUUUUUAAGUAGAUUAAAGGUACCUUCUCAACA